AUGCACUUCAAAAAUGGCCACCCUCAGAUCAGUUGGUUGUCUCCAAUUGGCCUCGAAGUAACAAUGUAAAGCUGUCUUUCUCGGCAACACAACCGCCAUGGCCACUUUAUAUUUCACCCAAAUUCAAUUUUAGUGCCAACUUUUUGUGUUAAAUGUUAACAACUUGGCCUAAUCCAUUUUUAUCGCCAACAACAAAUCUAUGUUGACUCAAACACUCGCCCCCUUUGUGCCCAUUGUGCGCCUGCUCUCAUUUGAAGAUUUAUGUAUUUUUUUAUAUUAAAUUCCUUUUGUCAUCAAGACUGCUCUUUUGUUGACUUUUCUUGACCCGCCGACCCGUUCCCUAAACUUUCCCAUAUUUAACAUGGGAUAUUUCCUCCCUCGCUCUCUAUUUGGGCGUCAUUGGAACUUAUUUGUCAGCAGUUAAAUGCUGUGUGUACCCCCAUUUUUGGAAUGUGCUGUUUGCACUGUUCAUGAACUUCAAUGUGCCACACCAGGCGACGCUGCCCUGUCCCCAUCCUGUACUUUGAACUCUGUAUCUUCCUCAAAAUUAAUGCCCUGUCGGCUACAAGCCUCCCUCUGACUGCCCAGCUUGCUAAUUAGUUAAACAAACGCUCGUACUAAUGAUUCUCCAGGCCUGGCGAGCUUUUGCGGUUUUGUUCGAACUCAGCUGCCGCUGCAGAGGACUUUGCACGUCCUGCUGGAAACUUGGCCCCUCUGACCCCACCUAUCACGGCGCUGUUGAAACGGCUGGACCGCCCUGUCCGAAGUCCAUCCCCCCACGGGCCAAAGGGCACCUUCAGAGGCUCGGAAUGCCACCACCAGCUGCUUGCGGUGACAACGGCCACAAAGGCGCGCGAGUUUCCUGGAAGGGUGCUGCAGUGCAUUGGAGGCCUGUCUCCGCUCUGAUAGGAGGGUGCUGCAGUGCAUUGGAGGCCUGUCUCCGCUGUGAUAGCAGCCCUGGAGCCUAGAUGAUUGAUGAAGGCGAGGGCAAGGCCGAGCGCUGGCAGCAUAAAGCCCCAUAGACGCAUCAAUAAAGCCUGGCUAGUGGAGGGCCUGGGCCUGCUCAAUAGCCACCGCCUACGAGGAUUCAGGCAAGCAAGCGGAGAGGGGAAGGUGCUCUGUUGUUCCCUAAUCCGUUUAGCCAUUGAGCCACCAGCCGUCUGAGGCUGGAUAAGUGCAGCGACGGAUGUGUGCGGGGGUGAAAAUAGCAGGGAGUGGAGGGCUGGAGAGGACCCGCGGGGGGAGAUAUAGUGGGACGCAUACAGUUCACACACAACUGAUUGAAGGAUAGAGGGAGAGGGAGAUGGAGAAAGAGGCUGAUGAUUACCCAGCUUCCUCCAGGGUAGAAGGGAAGGGUAGAGCCAGCCAUCAUGGGUUGGUGGGUGAGGGAAUAAUGGUUGGUUAGUGUGCAUUUAUUUCAUUGAUUGCAUACCGGACAGUACAGGUGUUUGUAAUUGCUUGAGUAUGUAACACAUAUUAUUUAUCUUAACAUGUUAUGACAAAGUUCAGUUCUAAUCUAACCAAAAAGGCAUAUACUCCUCAGGCAAUAUACUGGAGAAAACACAGAGGCAAAACGAGAACAUCUUGGACAAUAGUUCAAGAGUUAUUUCCCUUCAUGCACAUCUAUAAGCAAGAAUUCCAAACAGGCACCAGCUAAUCAAAAGGCCUUUUUAAAAGUAUUACACUUGCACCAAGCAACAGGAGCCCAAUUGGUCAGCCAUUGACCCCUGCUCCACAGACCCCUACCCCACUGAAGCUUAGGGAAUCCCUGUCAUUCUAAAAAUGCAUUUGUCCAGUGUGUCCACCACAGUGGCCAGCCAGACCUCAUGCAGGCCAUAGUAACUCCAGUGUACCACAUUCCUCAAUGGCACAAUUAGGCUGCAAUCAUCUCCUACCAAGCCAGCUUUUCACUGACCCCAGGCCCAGUGCAGCUACACGGUACCCUGCAGCACGGCCUGGUUGGAGAUGGAGGGAAGAGAAGGAGGGAGGGAGGAGGGAGAGUGAUGGGGCCUGUGCCCUAUGGCUCCAGUCUGCCCUAUGACACUCACUCCCAGCAGGCCUCAGAUGUUAGUAGAAUGGACAUUUCCAAUCAAAGCAAUGUCCCAUGAUAGCGGGACUAUCUGGACAUUCUAUUUCUAUGUCUCAGCUGAGCUCUCCACUGAUCCCUCUACCUCAGCCACUCUCCGACCCAUGCAAUUUCAUAAAAAGGGGCAAUUCAACCCGAAAUCCAAGUUUCUAAGAUGAUGAUGUUUCCAGUCAUUUGGGGUUGAUGUCUACAGAUUUAUCCUAAUUAAUGUAUGAUGUAGAAGGAUACAUCUGGUAUGUUUUAAAUUUUUUAAUUUGUUUAUAUCUUAGAGAGGAUGACCGUUUUGAAGAUAUGUUUUCUCGAAAAAUGUUCUAAAAACGAAUUUGUUGUGUCUGUAUUAACUACAAGUAUA
rnacentral:lncRNA from 1 species